rnacentral:lncRNA from 1 species
AUGGAUUCUGUCCAUGUGGUAGUUAGUCUGUGUGACACAAACACACUAAUGGAGUCUGUCCAUAUGGUAGCUAGUCUGUGUGACACAAACACACUAAUGGAGUUUGUCCAUGUGGUAGCUAGUCUGUCUGACACAAACACACUAAUGGAGUCUGUCCAUGUGGUAGCUAGUCAGUCUGACACAAACACACUAAUGGAGUCUGUCCAUGUGGUAGCUAGUCAGUCUGACACAAACACACUAAUGGAGUUUGUCCAUGUGGUAGCUAGUCUGUCUGACACAAACACACUAAUGGAGUCUGUCCAUCUGGUAGCUAGUCUGUAUGACACAAACACACUAAUGGAGUCUGUCCAUGUGGUAGCUAGUCAUUCUGACACAAACACACUAAUGGAGUCUGUCCAUGUGGUAGCUAGUCAGGCUGACACAAACACACUAAUGGAGUCUGUCCAUGUGGUAGCUAGUCUGUGUGACACAAACACACUAAUGGAGUUUGUCCAUGUGGUAGCUAGUCUGUCUGACACAAACACACUAAUGGAGUCUGUCCAUGUGGUAGCUAGUCAGUCUGACACAAACACACUAAUGGAGUCUGUCCAUGUGGUAGCUAGUCAGUCUGACACAAACACACUAAUGGAGUUUGUCCAUGUGGUAGCUAGUCUGUCUGACACAAACACACUAAUGGAGUCUGUCCAUCUGGUAGCUAGUCUGUAUGACACAAACACACUAAUGGAGUCUGUCCAUGUGGUAGCUAGUCAUUCUGACACAAACACACUAAUGGAGUCUGUCCAUGUGGUAGCUAGUCAGGCUGACACAAACACACUAAUGGAGUCUGUCCAUGUGGUAGCUAGUCUGUGUGACACAAACACACUAAUGGAGUUUGUCCAUGUGGUAGCUAGUCUGUCUGACACAAACACACGAAUGGAGUCUGUCCAUGUGGUAGCUAGUCAGUCUGACACAAACAGACUAAUGGAGUCUGUCCAUGUGGUAGCUAGUCAGUCUGACACAAACACACGAAUGGAGUCUGUCCAUGUGGUAGCUAGUCAGUCUGAGACAAACACACUAAUGGAGUUUGUCCAUGUGGUAGCUAGUCUGUCUGACACAAACACACUAAUGGAGUCUGUCCAUCUGGUAGCUAGUCUGUAUGACACAAACACACUAAUGGAGUCUGUCCAUGUGGUAGCUAGUCAUUCUGACACAAACACACUAAUGGAGUCUGUCCAUGUGGUAGCUAGUCAGGCUGACACAAACACACUAAUGGAGUCUGUCCAUGUGGUAGCUAGUCAGUCUCACCAUUUGAGAUGCUGA